AACGAACGCUGGCGGCAUGCCUAACACAUGCAAGUCGAACGAGACCUUCGGGUCUAGUGGCGCACGGGUGCGUAACGCGUGGGAAUCUGCCCUUGGGUUCGGGAUAACAGUUGGAAACGACUGCUAAUACCGGAUGAUGACUUCGGUCCAAAGAUUUAUCGCCCAGGGAUGAGCCCGCGUCGGAUUAGCUAGUUGGUGAGGUAAGAGCUCACCAAGGCGACGAUCCGUAGCUGGUCUGAGAGGAUGAUCAGCCACACUGGGACUGAGACACGGCCCAGACUCCUACGGGAGGCAGCAGUGGGGAAUAUUGGACAAUGGGCGAAAGCCUAAUCCAGCAAUGCCGCGUGAGUGAUGAAGGCCUUAGGGUUGUAAAGCUCUUUUACCCGGGAUGAUAAUGACAGUACCGGGAGAAUAAGCCCCGGCUAACUCCGUG
rnacentral:rRNA from 1 species